rnacentral:lncRNA from 1 species
CCCUUGGCCCUGUGGCUGUCAUCUGGAAGCAGGAAUAGGGAUGGCUGUAGGGUGUCUGGCUGCAGGGCUGUCACUCCUCAGGGGAGCGUGUGCAGUUUUACUAGACCUUGGUGUGAGUGCCAGACAUCUUGCUAGCAAUUCAGAGGGCAGGAAUUAGGCCCCUUGCCAGGGUGCCCCUCUGUGAUGUGGGUCGAGGUUGGGACCAGGGCAGCAGCUGGCUCUGGGUACAGUCUGGGUGACUAAUUGUGACUGGGGCAGCAUCUGUCAGCUCGAUGGGGCAGAUGACUGUAGACAAGGUUCUAUACUGAGAAGGCACUAAACGGGGGCAGAGAGCCCCAGGAAAGGCGGUGACUUGGGAUGUUAAAAAAUGGCUCAACCACCUUCAUCAUCAGAAUGAAUAUUCGGCUCAAGUCUUAAGUCCAGGGAGGAUGGCAAAGAGAAGGAAACAGAGAGGUGGACAGUAGGGGGAAGCUGGCAACGAGUGAAGUCUUCAGACAGUGUUGCAAGAUAACUGACACUUUGAAUCACUGCGAACGCUCUACCUUUAUUGAGGAAUUGGACCAUCUUUGAAGCCACUGCUUUGCUUAUUGUGAUAAUACAUGGUUAAAUAAAUCGAUAGGGCAGGCUUUCCCCACAUUGCCAAGAGGUGGAAACAGGAUCAGAGGCAUUUGUGGACUUUCCUCAGGCACUGAAACUGGGAGGGAGAUAGAUCCAAGUACGUGAGGAGAAUAUCUGGCCAACAGUCAAAUUCAUGGCGGAGGCCAUGACUGUUACUGAGGGAGAGCAAGUUUGGCAAACAUUGCAGCCUGUAAGCCCUGUGGGAGACUCACGAUGCCCAAGAGCAUAGCCAGGGUCCGGAGAAGGCUUGCAUGAAAGAAACCAGUUCUUUGCAUAGCCGUGUCUCACUUUUCUUCGAGCAGCACCUGAUGAUUAUCCCCGGGGCUUGGAUUUUACGUCAAAUUCUCCUUAUGCUGAAGUCAAGUCUGUUCAUUCAUAGCAUCCUCCAUCAC